GUGCCAGCAGCCGCGGUAAUACAUAGGGUGCGAGCGUUAAUCGGAAUUACUGGGCGUAAAGCGAGCGCAGACGGUUACUUAAGCAGGAUGUGAAAUCCCCGGGCUUAACCUGGGAACUGCGUUCUGAACUGGGUAGCUAGAGUAUGUCAGAGGGGGGUAGAAUUCCACGUGUAGCAGUGAAAUGCGUAGAGAUGUGGAGGAAUACCGAUGGCGAAGGCAGCCCCCUGGGAUAAUACUGACGUUCAUGCUCGAAAGCGUGGGUAGCAAACGGGAUUAGAUACCCUGGUAGUCCACGCCCUAAACGAUGUCGAUUAGCUGUUGGGCAGCUUGACUGCAUAGUAGCGUAGCUAACACGUGAAAUCGACCGCCUGGGGAGUACGGUCGCAAGAUUAAACUCAAAGGAACCGACGGGGAACCCGCACAAGCGGGUGGAUGAUGUGGGAUUAAUUCGAUGCUACGCGAAGAACCUUACAUGGUCUUGACAUGUACGGUACUUCCAGAGACGGAAGGUGCGUCGGGAACCGUAACACAGUGCGCAGGCGUCGUCGUCUGGUGG
rnacentral:rRNA from 1 species